AUCUGGGGCAGGUGUGGGCAGGAUUCCAAAUGAUUUAUUUAACCGAUUAAAAUACCUAUGGUUGUUGGAUCUGAGCAACAGUGGCAUAGAAGAAUUGCCAGAUUCAGUUGGUAAGCUAGUUCACCUGAGAUACCUUAGCCUUGCUGGAACCAAUGUCAAAGAGCUACCUGAAUCUGUAGAAAACCUGUACAAUUUGCAGACUUUGGAGCUCAAAUUUUGCUACAACCUUUUAUCGUUACCGCAAGGAACAAAUAACUUGGUCAACCUAAGGCAUCUCAUUUUGCAUCUUGAUUGGGAACAGAUUGAGGAUUUGAGUUCCAUGCCUACUGGAAUCAAUUACUUGACUUCUCUGAAGACAUUGUCAAGAUUCACUGUGACCAAGGAGGAUGGCUACAACCUAAGGGAAUUGAAGGACUUGAACCUUCAUGGGGAGCUCUGCAUCUGCAAGCUUGAAAACAUUACAAAUGCAAGUGAUGCUAGAGAAGCUAAUUUGAGGGCAAAGGAUCACAUUGACAGGCUGAUGCUGCGGUGGAGCAAUGAUUCCUCUAGUAUGCAACAAGGCACAGAUAAUUGGAAGGUAGUUGCUGAUGAAUUGCAGCCACAUCAGUAUCUAAAAUGCCUGUGGAUCUUGAAUUAUCCUGGUAGCGAAUUUCCUGAUUGGCUGGCGGACACUUGUUUCUCGAGUAUAGAAAUGGUGAGGCUAUCUUGUUCUGAAGAGUGUGAAUUAUUGCCACCACUUGGGCUGCUACCUAAGCUCAAACACUUGCAUAUAGAAGGGAUGAAGAAAUUGAGAAACUUGGAUUAUAUGAUGGGGUUUCCAUCUCUGGAGACUCUUACGAUAAAAGACAUGCCUGUUUUGGAAACAUUUUGUGAAUUUGUAGAUGAUGAAUUUCCUGAGCUCAUUCAGAUUGCUAUUUCUGGGUGCCCCAAUUUACCUAAUACUGAGGUUGAAUAUUCCUGGGAGGAUAUAUGUUUCAAGAAAUUGAUGCACCAUCCACUGCCAAUGGCAAUGGAAAUGAUAGGUAUUGAUCUCUCAUUCUGGGUAUUAGCAAUGCGUUUGAUGAUUUGUGUGUUUACUAUCCAGGCUCAGCCAUUGUUUUUUUUCUUCUGUCAUUUCUUGAAUUACUUGGCAUGUAUUUCCUAUGCUCCGUAAGAUUGUCAUAUCUCUGUGCCCCAAUUUACGUGAUAGGCUAGAUGUUAUCAAAAUGUCCUUUUGCAGUUCAGGGGAGUUCACAAAGAGUGACCCAAUCUAUUUUUUUUUAACUGAGUUUUUGCUAGUUUAUAUACAGAACCUCUGCUUUCUACUUUUAUUUUUAUUAAUGUUUUCCAUAUAAAUCUGAAGACAAUAGUUCAGCCUACAUUACUAAUGAAUUAAUGUCUUAUUGUCAUUUUCUUGGUUCUUCAACUUCAAGAUUAUGCAAAGCAUCCUUCGGUAAAGUUUAAGAAAUUGCAACAUUGCAACAUUGAUUUUUGGAGAUUGAAAACACAGAUCUUGGUUGCAUGUCAGGCACAUACAAAAUACUUGUGUUACAUCUGAUGAAGGUUUGUAUGAAGGGUUUGAUUGGCUCUCCAGCAAUAUCAAGUAAUCAAAACUUCUUGAGACUUUUUAUCUCAGCAACAACAAUUGUUAGCAUUUGAUGCUCGGGCAACAUCGUGGAAGCAAGAAAACUGUCAUCGUGCCUCCUUUUUUUCUGCCUUAUGAAAACCUUAAUACUUGUCUGUAGAACAAAUACGUGUUUGGUUCACUUUUUUCUGCCUUGAUACCUUGAUUCUUUUUUCUGCCAGCACCUUAUUCUCUUUUCUGAAAGAGCUACAUAUAUUUUUUUUCCUGAAUUUAAUUUCAUUUGCAAUUUUGCUCGUCUGGUUUAUGGAUCUUGUGGUUAAAUUUGCUAUAUAAUUCAAGGCACAGCACACCAAAGUUUAUUAGCAUCACAUGAAAUAUGAAAGAUGAUAUAUUCUUAUUACUCAUCUGGAUUUCUAUAAGAGAAAGCAUUUUCCAAAUCAACUCUCUUGAUACUCAAGAUAUUAAUAAUAACCCAACCUUUUACCCUUCAUAAGCAAAUUAGUGUCAUUAUCUUGAGAAGACAAUAAUACGCAUCUAGCUUAGGCAUAUUUAAUAUGACAAAAUCCAUUGUAUGAUUGCUAUUAUUUUUGACUGGUUUAUGAUAAUUCAACAUAUAUUCGAAAAAUUAAUUGCUAAAAAUGUCAUAUCGUAGAUAAAUAAACCAAAGAGAAAUGAUAUGGCAGCGACAUUUUACCGUGACAAAGAAUCGUGACGUUGGCCACCUUUGUGGUGUUCAACUUCUUCGUCGUCUUCUUUAAUGUUCAAGUUUGCUAGGUGGAAUUCAAAUGUUCAGGAUCUUGAAGAAUUUGCCUUUUUUAUCCCAUCUUGUGUCUAUCUUACCAAUCAGUCUGUAUACUAUUGUUUUCUCAGUUGUUUGAAAUCUUAAUGGCUACAAACUUUCAUAGUAGUUAGAUUUGGAUUCAAAUCAGGGGAUCUGGUUAGUACUAGACUGCCAUUUUAAUAUCUAACCAAUCAAUCUGUUGUCAAUUAAAUGCCCUUUUACCUCUCCUACUAUAUUUCUACUGCAUUUUAAGUGUUUUUUAAUAGAAAAUACUAAGCAAAUACUGCUAUUUGUAAACCUCUUGUACACUAGUAGACCAAUUUGUAUACUGAGCUAUGGUUUCUGCUUCCGGUUCAUGUUUUUUCAUAGAGCUUGGCUCAGCAUCUAACACGAUAUUCUAAAAUCAUAGCUUGUGUCAUGUUUAAUCUCAUGCUAUUCCCCUAUUUGUUCGUAUAGGCAUGGGGAAUUCACUUGUUCUUUUGGUUGGUUUUUAAUAAAUGUAGGUGAAGAAAGUGUAAUGGAAGAAAGAAAAAUUGAUUCAAAUGAGAUAAGGGAUAACAAUGACCAUGCGGAUCAAGACUCAUCUCCAUCUAGCGUAAAUGAAAUCAAGCUUUCUGAAAUUGGAGUUGCUGGUUCUGAAAUUAAAUUGGUGGUUGAGCUCAUAUGUAUCUGAAACCUACUUCAUUGCUGAAAUUGCUAUUAGCAUGGUUA